UUGAGAUGACUGGAGUUCAAGCAUGCGUGCUAGUUCCGAAAUGUUGUUCUAUUGUCUCCGAAAAACUAAGAGAUCCCGGAGGUCCGCAAAAGCUGAGGCACCUUGUCGCAGACAGUUUAAAGAUACCAAAAAAGGAAGCAGUGUAUUAUACUGCACAGACUAUAAGCACUGCGCUGUUCAAGAAAUGUUCUAUGGUAGCACACAGUGUCUGCUGUGGGUGCGCAACCAAGACUUAAAAGAAGUACACAGGAAUGCAUCCACCGUUACGAGGAAGCUUGCGGAAUCAAGGUACCGGGAAACGGAAAGAACCUGUGCAAAGAUACUGCUUCUAAAUGAAGUCAAUAAUGCACUCGAUGCAUAUUAACCUUGCGGUGGAUCGUUGUUACGCACUGAGAAGAUAUUUAUCUUUCUACAAAAAACGAACCAUGCAGUUUCUGAGUGAGCGUACACUUGGAAUUCUCUGAAUAAAAACCAGUAUCUUUUCUGCUACA